GCCUCUUUAGCUCAGGGGUAGAGCGCUCCCCUAGUAAGGGAAAGGUCAGUGGUUAAAAACGCUAAGAGGUA
rnacentral:tRNA from 1 species